rnacentral:lncRNA from 1 species
UGAACUCGGGAUCCUUGACUCCACGUUGAUCUAAGUCAUGCAUUGCAUUUUCCCUUUCACAUGUUUUCUAACUUGAGCGUCGGAGACGUCUAACAUAUUUUUGCAGGUAUCGCCCUAAAAGCAGGGGGAAUUAUAAAGCUUGACGCACAGAACAAUCGAUUUCUCUUUUAUAUAAUCGAUUAUCCAGUAUCAAUAAUCGAUUGUCU